rnacentral:rRNA from 1 species
AAAGAAACCAACAGGGAUUGCCCUAGUAACGGCGAGUGAAGCGGCAACAGCUCAAAUUUGAAAUCUGGCCCUCGGGUCCGAGUUGUAAUUUGUAGAGGAUGUUUUUGGUGAGGUACCUUCCGAGUUCCCUGGAACGGGACGCCAUAGAGGGUGAGAGCCCCGUCUGGUUGGAUACCGAUCCUCUGUAAAACUCCUUCAACGAGUCGAGUAGUUUGGGAAUGCUGCUCUAAAUGGGAGGUAUAUGUCUUCUAAAGCUAAAUAUUGGCCAGAGACCGAUAGCGCACAAGUAGAGUGAUCGAAAGAUGAAAAGCACUUUGAAAAGAGAGUUAAAAAGUACGUGAAAUUGUUGAAAGGGAAGCGCUUAUGACCAGACUUGGACUUGGUUGAUCAUCCUGGGUUCUCCCUGGUGCACUCUUCCAGUUCAGGCCAGCAUCAGUUCGUCGCGGGGGAUAAAGGCUUCGGGAAUGUGGCUCCCUCGGGAGUGUUAUAGCCCGUUGUGUAAUACCCUGCUUUGGACUGAGGUUCGCGCAUCUGCAAGGAUGCUGGCGUAAUGGUCAUCAGCGACCCGUCUUGAAACACGGACCAAGGAGUCGUCUUCGUAUGCGAGUGUUCGGGUGUUAAACCCCUACGCGUAAUGAAAGUGAACGCAGGUGAGAGCUUCGGCGCAUCAUCGACCGAUCCUGAUGUUCUCGGAUGGAUUUGAGUAAGAGCAUACGGGGCCGGACCCGAAAGAAGGUGAACUAUGCUUGUAUAGGGUGAAGCCAGAGGAAACUCUGGUGGAGGCUCGCAGCGGUUCUGACGUGCAAAUCGAUCGUCAAAUAUGAGCAUGGGGGCGAAAGACUAAUCGAACCUUCUAGUAGCUGGUUUCCGCCGAAGUUUCCCUCAGA